UACAGGGGGUGCUAGCGUUGUUCGGAAUUACUGGGCGUAAAGGGCGCGUAGGCGGUUUCGCAAGUCAGGGGUGAAAUCCCGGAGCUUAACUCCGGAAUUGCUUUUGAUACUGUGAGGCUAGAGUGAGUUAGAGGAUGGCGGAAUUCCUAGUGUAGUGGUGAAAUACGUAGAUAUUAGGAAGAACACCGGUGGCGAAGGCGGCCAUCUGGGACUCAACUGACGCUGAGGCGCGAAAGCGUGGGGAUCAAACAGG
rnacentral:rRNA from 1 species